UAUGGCAUUGGCGAAUUGCCGGAAAUCGUCACCCUGCCGAAAGGUAAACCGGUUUUCAGUGAUAAAAAUUUGCCUU
rnacentral:tRNA from 1 species